GCCCCACCUCUGGCCCAGUGGUUGCAUCCUUCAUCCUCUCGAUACAAAGCCAGGAGAGGGAGAGAGGGAAAGAUGGAAAUAGAGAUGAGAAGAUUAGAGUGGCCUUGACCAUUGUAACCACAACAAUGGGAUCACACUGGACAAGGAAGCGGCGAGGAUAUGCGCAUGCUAUGAAGACCUGCUUUGGGGAGCGUUUUCUGUCUCCCUCACCAACCUCCAAGAGAAUCACAGGCACGACCAGAAGCAGGAACUUGGCCUUUCUUGUCACAUCUCAGCACCUGGAGUGGCGCCAAGAGAGGUGGGAGGCAGAGGAGCCGCAGCAAUGUUCAGGGGCUGCCACCACGUCUCAUCCCCCGCACCCACCUUCCAUGGCUGCUGUUCACUUCCACCUUCCAAAUCUCCUUCUCCAAGUCCUGAGAAGGACAUACCACCCCUGAAUUACACAGUGAAAUUCUGGGAAACAUAGUUUCGUUAAGUUGACACAAAGCAAAACCACCCCCCUCCAGAUGCUCAAGAUCCCUUGGGGUGACACUGUGACAGAGAACAGGAGAGUGAGGUCAUCUGGGGUACAUCAGUGAAAGUGUCUGGCCCUCUGCCCAGGUGAGUGUGAACUGCUCUGACUCUUCUGAGGAGGAUGGAAAAGAUCAUUCUACAGAUCGAUAGUCACACUAGGUGCCAGCAUCUAUGGCGUUCUGAUGCAGUAUUGGUGAUGGGGGCUACCACGUACUUGAGUCUAUGGUGGUUCCCCAUCAUCUCUGAUCUACUGGGUUCUUACAGGGGCUCCACUGCUGAACCGAAUGGGGAUAUAACAGAAGCCACCACUCCUGUAUCCUUCCCGUCUUUGAGGGUAGUACUUAUCUCUGCCAUUUCUCCCAGCAUGUGGCCUACCUCUGGUUUACUAUUUUGUCUAGAAAAGGGAGGUGCAAUUUAGAGCCCUCCUCUCCUAUUAUAAAGUCUUUUAUACCAUAGGGCAGGGAACCAAUGAGAAUUCUGCCAGCUAUUAAGUAUAUCCAUCCCAGUCACACACGCAGGGACUGGAGAGAUGACCAUGGGUGAGUCUAUGACCCAACAGACCCACUGCGAGAUGGACAAAAGCCAGCGCUCAUCUGUGGCCUCCGUCCACCCCACGAUGGCACGCGGGUGGUUCUCUGGUCUUACAUGAUGCAUCCAUUCUCAUAUGUUCACCCUCUGAACCUUUUGAUCCCUUCUCUGCACUCAGCCAAGGCAGUUUUGUUAUCUCCAGCUCCCUGUAGACCAACUGUGCCUCAUGUCUACAUGUCCCAGCAGUGUUCGGAGUGUCUCAGGGCUCCUGAGUCAUUGGAGAGUUGUUCAGUCGCUCAGUCAUGUCCUACUUUUUGCGACCCCACGAGCUGCAGCACACCAGGCUUCCCUGUCCUUCACUAUCUCCCG
ensembl:lncRNA